UACGUAGGCAGCGAGCGUUGUUCGGAGUUACUGGGCGUAAAGGGUGUGUAGGCGGUUAUUUAAGUUUGGUGUGAAAUCUCCCGGCUCAACCGGGAGGGUGCGCCGAAUACUGAAUGACUUGGAGUGCGGGAGAGGUGAGUGGAAUUCCUGGUGUAGCGGUGAAAUGCGUAGAUAUCGUAAGGAAGACCAGUGGCGAAGGCGGGUCUCUGGACAGUUCCUGACGCUGAGGCACGAAGGUCAGGGGAGCAAACGGG
rnacentral:rRNA from 1 species